ensembl:lncRNA
GAAGAGAAAAUGCAAGACUUUCGGUUAAAUGGAGGAUUUUUGUGGUAAAAAUGCGUGGCUUUCAGGUUAAAGUGGGGAUUCUCGAAGAGAAAAUGUAUGAUUUCUGGAUUGAAUGCUUUUUUUUUUCCUUUAGAGAAAAGUGGUGAUUUUUGAUUGUGUAUUUUUCCAAGAGAAAAUGCAUGGUUUUUGGAUUAAAUGGGGGAUUUUUUGAAAAGAAAAUGCGUGACUUUCGGGUUAGAUCAGGGAUUCUUGAAGAGAAAAUGCAUGAUUUUCGUUUACCUGAUUUUGGGGUCAAAUGGGGUAUUUUUUGGAGAGAUACUGCUAAUUCCCUCAAAGUUUCCACAAACAGCCCUUAACACCGUGUAGUGCUAUUGUUCAGUUAUAAGCACUUGGAAGCAGAUCUCACAGAAGCCCGUUCACCUUCCUUUACACGCUUCCCCGCAAUCAGAACACAUAAAUGGGCUGACACUCACUCCCUGAAUGGAACACAUCUCACUCACAGCACACUCACUCUGACAUUUAGAACAAAAAC